rnacentral:rRNA from 1 species
ACUCGUGACGGUGGAUGUCUUGGCUCCAGCAACGAUGAAGAACGCAGCAAAAUGCGAUACGUAGUGCGAAUUGCAGAACCCGUGGAAUCAUCGAAUCUUUGAACGCAAGUUGCGCUCGCGGGCAAUCCUGCGAGCAUGUCUGUUUGAGUGUCCGCACAAAU